CUGGAUUUCAAAUUCCAGCUGUGCAGGGGGUUUGACACAACUUUGAGGCACUGCUGCUAUAUUCCUUGGCAGGUGCAGAAUAUUUGCAUUCCCAAAGGAGAAAGAAGCUUAUGAAGUGGGUGAGACAGAAAAGGCCUAAAACAGUGCUGGAAUAUAUUUUCAUCAUACCAAAGAACUGACCUGGUGAAUGCUUCUGGAAAAAGGACUGGUCCAGAAGGAUGUGAACUUUGAGCGGGUCCUGAAGCAGCAUUAGAGGAGAGGAUUCCCAUGCUUCCCACACCCAUCGCUUUCCCAGGCUCUGUGGCAGAUCCAGAGCCAACGUGCUGGCAGCAGGGUGGGAUGUGGCAG